GAUGAACGCUGGCGGCGUGCCUAAUACAUGCAAGUCGAGCGAACGGACGAGAAGCUUGCUUCUCUGAUGUUAGCGGCGGACGGGUGAGUAACACGUGGAUAACCUACCUAUAAGACUGGGAUAACUUCGGGAAACCGGAGCUAAUACCGGAUAAUAUUUUGAACCGCAUGGUUCAAAAGUGAAAGACGGUCUUGCUGUCACUUAUAGAUGGAUCCGCGCUGCAUUAGCUAGUUGGUAAGGUAACGGCUUACCAAGGCAACGAUGCAUAGCCGACCUGAGAGGAUGAUCCGCCAAAAUGGAACGGAGACACGGACCAGACUCCUACGGGAGGCAGCAGUCGGGAAUCUUACGCAAUGGGCGAAAGCCUGACGGAGCAACGCCGCGUGAGUGAUGAAGGUCUUCGGAUCGUAAAACUCUGUUAUUAGGGAAGAACAUAUGUGUAAGUAACUGUGCACAUCUUGACGGUACCUAAUAAGAAAGCCACGGCUAACUACGUG
rnacentral:rRNA from 1 species